CAGACAUGCACUUUCCUGUUUCAUGUUUUCCUUCAGUUGUUUAAUUUUAUAAAGCCCUUUUUGCCUUCAGUCAGGGACUUUCAGAGGCUAACUGCUACAGUCACGCUGUAAAAAGCACCGAUUUCUUGUAGCUGAUGGGACAGUUUUGCCUAAGUGGUAUCAGUUUCUACAGGUCAUCUGCCUCCCGUUGCUGCAGAAGUGAAGAUGCCUUUGCAAGCAUUAUUUACUUAUUGUAACUCAGCUGGGGAUGAGACUCUCAUACACGAGGAGUUCCUCAUACAUCGAGGGAAGCUCAGCAAAGCUGAUACCGGCAUCAGUUCUGUAACUGCUGAUAGCAGCAGGAAGCAGCUGUCUCUGGAAGUAGCUGACUGUCCCCAGUGUGGCACGCUGGCCACUAUGACCAGGGCAGCAGAAGCUUGCAAGGAUGGAGCUGGGAUACUGCCGGCCUGCUCUCAGGAUGCCUUCCAGCAGCUUGACACUGAGGCAGGCAACGGGGACCAGAUGCUCAAGAGCCAUCCAGGCAAACGCACCAGGGCACAGCUACAAGCUGAAAGCAGCAGUCAGGCUUGAAGUCGCCUUUUGCCAAGGAGGCUACAACCAGAAUUACUGCCCAGGUGCAUCGUAGGCUUGUGCUGGAAUCACUGUGUAUCACAGCACACCCUCCCUCAUUGCUCCCUUCUCAGUAACAUACUGUUGGGACAGAUCUCAUUGCUUUAUGUCAGAUCUCAUACAUAUCUAAUGUUGUAGAUGUACUUUUCUACAGUUCUAAACACUAUUCUAAGUGAAGACCUCAAAACGCUGCCACUGAAGACCUGGCAAAAUAGUUGCAUCGUUGUGCACACAGAUGCCCUCUCUGCACUGCUGUAUUCCCAACUGCGUCUCUACAAGCCUCCCAUGAUUUUGUUUUUCACCCAAAGACAGGAAAGUUUGCUUAUCAGAUUGGAGUUUGGCUAGAAGUCUGCCAAAGGAUAUUCACCCACUUAUGUUCUCUGAGAAAACUUGACAGCAUUUUUAUUCCCAUCAGAAGUGGUCACUUAUUUGAUUAUGCUACAUAAUGAGUGAUAGACUGAGCCACACGUUAUAACUUGCAGUCCCCAGAGACUCAACAUCAAGUUUUCAGUCUCUUUCAAAGCUUAUAGAAAAAAAAAUCAACCCUAAAGCUCCACUCUAUCAAGGCUCCCUUUAGGUCAAAAUGAAAAGCAGAUUCACAUUUAUCAAUCCCUGAACAAGAAAACUAUCAAUCACUGAAAAUACUUAAUGCAAAACAGUAAAGAGUGUUUGCUAAAGGCAAACAGUACUGAGCACAGAGCACUCAGGAAUACAGGGAAAAGUCAAAUACUGAUUGUCUCUGCAGAUAUGCACAACCUAUACAUGACACAAAGACACACUGCCCUUUGCCUAAACAAAUCAAGAUCUAUAAAUCAUACUGACACUCACCACAGUUUAACUCUCUCACCUGAGAAAUUACGACAUUCUUGCCGUUUAUUGCUUGCAGGGGAACAGUGGAAUGGAGUUUGUCCUUGUAAAAUUUAACUGUUUCCAGGUUAUUUUCAGAGGUCUGGUAAUAUCAGCGAGCCUUACCAUGUUGCUGUAAGUAAGGAGCGAUGACAUAUUGUUGCACGGUAUGCAGUGUAAUUGUUAUUGCCGGAACAGAGUACUUGCAAUUUUGCCUUGCCAGCCAGCAAAGGCAGAUCUAAAACUGCCUGUUUACAUGCAGCAACGUAUUUCUCUAGAAGAGUUUGCCAUAUUGCCUCUCACUAGCCAAUUUUAAUGAGACAAUUUGUACUGAAAAAUGGAUUAAUGAUACAAGGCAAUUACUUAGCACUGCAUGUGUGCAAGUAAAACAAGUUUUUCAGGAAGAGAACAGAGUCAGUCAACUCUAACAAGGUCUGUGCACAUAGUCUAAUCUCAUUUGUUCUGUGGGGUUCCCAAGAUGUCUAUUAUAAUGAGAUCCAAUUUUGGAUUUCAGUCAUUUCCUUCAUUCAAAGAAACCAGCCUUUUAGUGACUACACUGAUCUCCUGGAGCAGGAAACGCAAUAUAUUACUAAAACUAAAGUCCACAGACAAUUAGCACGAGCUGCAUUUACUCACUAAGUCUUGUACUUCAGUUUCUUCAGUGUGAUAGAAGUCUUUGAAAUGUGUCCUAAGCGACUACAACAGUAUUUCAAAGAUCCCCUCAAAUUCCUACAAAUUUAGAUAUAGUGAUACUGAGCAACUGACAAUCUCCCAAGAGACAUUUAGUAAAAAAUAACUUUUUGACAAUUAAAUUGUCAUAAGAAAAAGAUCAGAAAACACAGUAUCGUGAAACCACUUUAUUCAGCCCCAAGGAACACUAGCAGUGUAACAGACUGAUCUCUAAGACUGGUAUGUUGCACUUGAUUGACUUCAGCAUCUGAGAGGGUAUGUGCAAACUUUGUUUGUAACUGUUCCUACUUUUCUAUGACUAUCCAUAGUAUCUAACAAGAGAAAUGACAGCUUUUCUUCUGGUGGGUGAAACGUGAAAACUUAAUAAUCUCUGACUUCCAUAAUUUCAUUAAAUUUGGUCAAAAUGGGCUAACAGUUAUUGACACAGAAAAAUAAAAACCAGAUUUGUUUGUAGAAGUCUAAAACUGAUUCAAAUACCACUGCAAUUUUUGGAAGGACGCGAAAGGUUAUACUCACAAAAUGUUAAUGUAUAUAGGAAUAGUGACAUGUACACAAUUGUUUGCAAGCUAUUGUAAACAGUCUCAAUAAGUCAUCGAAGUACAACAAAUUUUCCUUCGUAAUCAGAUGCUCUCCGACCAGGCAGAAAAGUCUGCUCUCAGCCUGUGAUGUUUUGGAUCAAUCCAUCUCAGCAGAUUGGGUCGGAGCAGUCUAGCGUCCAGAUGGGGCUGUUCUAACUUACACUCUAAUCUGAAUGUAUGGCCAGCUAGCUAAGGAUCAUAAUACCUCUGAUUUGAAAUCAUGACUUGAAAAUAAGGCGCUGGUGUACAAGACAGGAGAGCCCUUUGCCUGCUGGGAAAAUACAAGAGCUCUCUUAUCACUACUUGCUACAAGAUCAGUAGAAACAGAAUGGAAUAAGAAAAGUAUUGGCACAGAAAGUUGGUUUUGGGGUAUGCGUCCAUCAAAAUUUACGUUGAUUUUUCCCCUGCAUUUGAAUCACAUACACACACAAAAAUAGAGGCAAAGCACAGCUCUCAUUCUAGUACUGCAUUUUGGGGCCAGUUCUCAACUACAACUCAUUCAUUCCAAAUGAGCUAUGAGCAUGACUCAAACGCAGCCACAUGGCACCAGAGUUUAAAGAGAGAAGCCUAUAGUAGCCAGUGUGGGGAAUUAGCUUAGUAAAGUGAGAGCAGCUGCAUUGUUUGGUCUAAAAACUAAAGUAAAGUGAACGCACGUUACAAUUGUUGGGAAAAUAUUUGUUAAGAUUCCUGUUCAUUUUCUCUCUGAUUUUGGCAAAAGAUCUAGUGGCACUAUUAGAAGAAUGGCUUUUGUAGCAGAACUUUCAACUAUGUCCAAAUGUGGAAAUGUUGAAACUCUACUCUCGUCAUGCUUCCUGCCUUGUGUUUAGAAGUGAAGGGACUGAACAUGCACCUAGAAUGACUAAAACUAAAUAUUUGAUGAUUUGUGUAAAAAUAAUGAAGCAGAGAAAGAAGUGCCACACGGUGGGGUCACUUGAAUCACUAUUUUUCCUCAUUAUUUGCUUCUAGCUAGGCCAAGAAAACUGCCAAAGGGAACGCCUAGCAGAAGCAUCUGAAACAUCAGCUCCCUGGUGACCUAUAUAUCCUUAUGGGGUUAUAUACUCAACUCAUGUCAAUCACUGCAGUGUUUUUAAAAUCAGCGCUGCUAUGUUCAGCAUCUGUCCCAAGGAUUUCAGAUUUUUUUCCUUCUUUUGAGCAGAGCCAGUAGUACCCAUUUCUUUCAUUAUGGUGUGGUAGCAGCUUCAGGUGAGUAAAAGUAACGGUGACAGUCACCCAUCAUGAACAAAGCUAUUUAUUACUUGCGGCAUUGUGCAAAUGCGACUGGAAUCCAGGGUAUAUCAACGUAACCAAGGAGAUUUUUCUUAGGCUUCAGUGCUAUAUCAUACAUAAAACAGCUUCAUUUGCUAAAGCUGUGCAGUGAAAGAGUGAGGUCAAUACAGGGAGAGAAAGGCAGAAAACAAGUUUACAGACCCUGAGGCUGCUGAAAAGGAGAGGGCAGGCACACAACCACCUUAAACAAAUGGCUCAUUUAAAAAUACAAAUUCAGUUUGACUUAUGUUUGAUAAGGUGUAGAAGAAUACAUUUUUAAUCUGUCAGAAGUCCCUGGCCUUUAAGCAAGGAGAUAAGGAAACAUCAGCAGAAGAAACAGCAAAAACCUCCACAAUUUUGAGAAUGAUCAUCAUUAGGUGCUCUGUAAUUUUCAUUGCUGCUUCCUGAAAAGAUACUUUUGGCCAGUUCAUCAAUCACAGAAGAAAUAAUCAAAGGGUAUCUCUGAUGAAUAUUGCAUUUCAUGAUGCCAACAUUUUGUUCUCAUUGCAUUUCCUGAUGGCGUUGCCAGUGACCUCCCCACUAGGCUUAUGCACUACAUGGCUACCUCUAUUGGGAUGGUUGUCAGGCUUCCCCUGCAGGGCUCCAGUGUGCAUCUCCAUGGUUCACAUGCCUCAAGUCUAAGACCACAGUGAAAUAUUUGAAUUUAGAUAAAUUUCUAUAACUUUAUUAUGAAGUAAUUGAAACUUGUCCAUUUAUGUUAUCGAAACAUGAUAACCACUUCAUGUAAGCACUGUAUUUGCUUUUAAAUAGUCACUUUAUGCAAUGUAAUAUAAUAAAACCGAUAGACUUAAUUAACAAGUACAUUUUUCUCUAGGAAGCUAAAAGAUUAUCAGAAAGUGAUUCUUGCUUACAGCUGUGCUGGCCUGGGAAAGUGGAGUGUGUUUCACCCAUACCUUCUCCAUUUACAUCUCUGAGGCAUUUUUACUUUGUGAAAUCUUAAUUCCUGGCAGCUUCCACAAGCUUCGCUCCAGAGUCAUUCCAUGCAUGCAGUGACUUCAUCUCAGAACAGCCAAGAUAAACAAUUCUAGCCAUUUGAUAGUAUUUCAUGUAUCUCUUGAUAAUUUCCAGAUUUUCCUAUAUUUCUUAUGAAUCUGGUAACAUAGUAUCAUGCAUUUUAGUAGUCUGCUGUUGUUUCACUCAACAGCUGCAAUGACGUGUUGACCAAUUUAGAUUUUCUCAAUUUAUAUCAAAACUGCAAUGCCUCCGACUACGCAGGACUAAAAGCACUCCUGAAUUGGCAAAAUUUCUACUCCAACCCCCAGUCAGUGUGAAGAAAAAAAAAAAUGCUUCAAAUAACAUCAAACCAUAAAUUACUAUUCAGAAAAGGUCAGUGAAGUAGAAUGUCUAAGGUCCAUGGAAACAGAGGUUUCUUAAGAGUGAAAGACUAAAGCAUCCACUUUAGUUACAUAUCAGUGGCAUAACACUCUUCAUACAUUAAUGUAUGCAUUGAAAAAGAAGCAGGACAAUUCUGUUCCGUAAAGCUGGGACAAAUAGAUAAGUGUAGUCAAGGAUGUUAACAACACUAAAUAUUUUCCAUGUGUCAAAAGCUUUCAGAUGAUGGCAAUUACCCUAUAUCCAAUACUUGAAAUAAUUAAUAAAGUCAUCAAUAUAGUCUCCUAAGCAUUAGGAUUUAGGACUCUGAGUUUAAGGUCCAUUUUGAAAAGAGAAGAGGAAAUAAAAAACGCCACAAUGUAAAAAUAAUGUUCCGUUACAUAUUUUGGGUUCUGAAAGUAUCCAAGACUCAGAUAUGUUUGAGAACAGAUGCUACCAGCUAAGUAGGACAAAUAAAAAAUCCAACCAAUACUGAGUACAUUAGUGUA